AGUGGGAGCACCCUUUGGGUGUGACUGCGUACCUUUUGUAUAAUGGGUCAGCGACUUAUAUUCUGUAGCAAGGUUAACCGAAUAGGGGAGCCGGAGGGAAACCGAGUCUUAAUUGGGCGUUAAGUUGCAGGGUAUAGACCCGAAACCCGGUGAUCUAGCCAUGGGCAGGUUGAAGGUUGGGUAACACUAACUGGAGGACCGAACCGACUAAUGUUGAAAAAUUAGCGGAUGACCUGUGGCUGGGGGUGAAAGGCCAAUCAAACCGGGAGAUAGCUGGUUCUCCCCGAAAGCUAUUUAGGUAGCGCCUCGUGAAUUCAUCUCCGGGGGUAGAGCACUGUUUCGGCUAGGGGGCCAUCCCGGCUUACCAACCCGAUGCAAACUGCGAAUACCGGAGAAUGUUAUCACGGGAGACACACGGCGGGUGCUAACGUCCGUCGUGAAGAGGGAAACAACCCAGACCGCCAGCUAAGGUCCCAAAGUCAUGGUUAAGUGGGAAACGAUGUGGGAAGGCCCAGACAGCCAGGAUGUUGGCUUAGAAGCAGCCAUCAUUUAAAGAAAGCGUAAUAGCUCACUGGUCGAGUCGGCCUGCGCGGAAGAUGUAACGGGGCUAAACCAUGCACCGAAGCUGCGGCAGCGACACUGUGUGUUGUUGGGUAGGGGAGCGUUCUGUAAGCCUGUGAAGGUGUGUCGUGAGGCAUGCUGGAGGUAUCAGAAGUGCGAAUGCUGACAUAAGUAACGAUAAAGCGGGUGAAAAGCCCGCUCGCCGGAAGACCAAGGGUUCCUGUCCAACGUUAAUCGGGGCAGGGUGAGUCGACCCCUAAGGCGAGGCCGAAAGGCGUAGUCGAUGGGAAACGGGUUAAUAUUCCCGUACUUGGUGUUACUGCGAAGGGGGGACGGAGAAGGCUAUGUUGGCCGGGCGACGGUUGUCCCGGUUUAAGCGUGUAGGUGUGUGUUCCAGGUAAAUCCGGUUCACUUUAACACUGAGGCGUGACGACGAGGCACUACGGUGCUGAAGCAACAAAUGCCCUGCUUCCAGGAAAAGCCUCUAAGCAUCAGGUAACAUCAAAUCGUACCCCAAACCGACACAGGUGGUCAGGUAGAGAAUACCAAGGCGCUUGAGAGAACUCGGGUGAAGGAACUAGGCAAAAUGGUGCCGUAACUUCGGGAGAAGGCACGCUGACACGUAGGUGAAGUGAUUUACUCAUGGAGCUGAAGUCAGUCGAAGAUACCAGCUGGCUGCAACUGUUUAUUAAAAACACAGCACUGUGCAAACACGAAAGUGGACGUAUACGGUGUGACGCCUGCCCGGUGCCGGAAGGUUAAUUGAUGGGGUCAGCGCAAGCGAAGCUCCUGAUCGAAGCCCCGGUAAACGGCGGCCGUAACUAUAACGGUCCUAAGGUAGCGAAAUUCCUUGUCGGGUAAGUUCCGACCUGCACGAAUGGCGUAAUGAUGGCCAGGCUGUCUCCACCCGAGACUCAGUGAAAUUGAACUCGCUGUGAAGAUGCAGUGUACCCGCGGCAAGACGGAAAGACCCCGUGAACCUUUACUAUAGCUUGACACUGAACAUUGAGCCUUGAUGUGUAGGAUAGGUGGGAGGCUUUGAAGUGUGGACGCCAGUCUGCAUGGAGCCGACCUUGAAAUACCACCCUUUAAUGUUUGAUGUUCUAACGUGGACCCGUUACCCGGGUUGCGGACAGUGUCUGGUGGGUAGUUUGACUGGGGCGGUCUCCUCCUAAAGAGUAACGGAGGAGCACGAAGGUUGGCUAAUCCUGGUCGGACAUCAGGAGGUUAGUGCAAUGGCAUAAGCCAGCUUGACUGCGAGCGUGACGGCGCGAGCAGGUGCGAAAGCAGGUCAUAGUGAUCCGGUGGUUCUGAAUGGAAGGGCCAUCGCUCAACGGAUAAAAGGUACUCCGGGGAUAACAGGCUGAUACCGCCCAAGAGUUCAUAUCGACGGCGGUGUUUGGCACCUCGAUGUCGGCUCAUCACAUCCUGGGGCUGAAGUAGGUCCCAAGGGUAUGGCUGUUCGCCAUUUAAAGUGGUACGCGAGCUGGGUUUAGAACGUCGUGAGACAGUUCGGUCCCUAUCUGCCGUGGGCGCUGGAGAACUGAGGGGGGCUGCUCCUAGUACGAGAGGACCGGAGUGGACGCAUCACUGGUGUUCGGGUUGUCAUGCCAAUGGCACUGCCCGGUAGCUAAAUGCGGAAGAGAUAAGUGCUGAAAGCAUCUAAGCACGAAACUUGCCCCGAG
rnacentral:rRNA from 1 species